CUUGUCUGCAGCGUGAGCUAGGGUUGGCCACAUACAAGGCUAGGAGUGUCCAAUUUGAUUGGAAAAAGUAUGAGAGUUCACAUUAGAGAUUGAGGAUUCGAAUGGACACAAAAUAUCUGCCAAAACAUGAAUCAAGAAAACUAAACUGAUUCAACAACACUUGUCUGUACCGUGAGCUAGGGUUGGCCACACAAAAGGCUAGGAGUGUCCAAUUUGAUUGGAAAAACUAUGAGACUUCACAUUAGAGAUUGAGGAUUCAAAUGGAC
rnacentral:lncRNA from 1 species